GUUUGUUUCCAUUAGUUUGACAUCAUCCCAAGACUCUUAAACAUUUCUGAAGAAAAAAAAAAAGAUCAAAACUUAGAGAAUGAUAAAUCUUAUCUACUUGGUGAUCUGCAUCGCUUUCCUGAUCCUAAUGGCUGAAGUCAGCUGGGCACUUCCAUUAGAUGAGGAAGACUUUUUGAGAGAGAAGAGGAUGGAUCCCAAGUUGCUUGAAUCACUGACUGGAUAAUAUAACAAGUUAUGACCAUCAAUACAAUAAGUACAUGCAAGGCUCUAAGCACUUUUGAUGGUUAAUGAAUGUGCAAUAAAAAUGAAAGUCGAAAAAAAUACA